rnacentral:rRNA from 1 species
AAUGAACGCUGGCGGCAGGCCUAACACAUGCAAGUCGAGCGAGCGGCGGACGGGUGAGUAAUGUAUGGUGACUGCCCGUUAGCGGGGGAUCACUACUGGAAACGGUGUCUAAUCCCGUAUACUAUCGGCUACCCCUUAUGGGAUUAGCUAGUCGGUGGGGUAAUGGCUCACCUAGGCGACGAUCGCUUGCGGGUCUGCGAGGAUGAUCAGCCACACUGGGACUGAGACACGGCCCAGACUCCUACGGAGGCAGCAGUAGGGAAUAUUGCACAAUGGGCGCAAGCCUGAUGCAGCCAAGCGGCGUGUAUGAAGAAGGUCUUAGGGUUGUAAAGUACUUUCAGCAGGGAGGCGGUAACCGCAGAAAAAGCACCGGCUAACUACGUGCCAGCAGCCGCGGUAAUAC